CUACGGGUCGCACCAGUGGGGGAUAUUGCGCAAUGGGGGAAACCCUGACGCAGCAAUGCCGCGUGAAGGAAGAAGGUCUUCGGAUUGUAAACUUUUGUCUUCAGGGACGAAACAAAUGACGGUACCUGAGGAGGAAGCCACGGCUAACUACGUGCCAGCAGCCGCGGUAAUACGUAGGUGGCAAGCGUUGUCCGGAUUUACUGGGUGUAAAGGGCGUGUAGGCGGGAUUGUAGGUCAGAUGUGAAAUACCCGGGCUUAACCCGGGGGCUGCAUUUGAAACCACAGUUCUUGAGUGCUGGGAGGGAAGCGGAAUUCCUAGUGUAGCGGUGAAAUGCGUAGAUAUUAGGAGGAACACCAGUGGCGAAGGCGGCUUUCUGGACAGUAACUGACGCUGAGGCGCGAAAGCGUGGGGAGCAAACAGGAUUAGAUACCCUAGUAGUC
rnacentral:rRNA from 1 species